rnacentral:rRNA from 1 species
UUGAACGCUGGCGGUAUGCUUUACACAUGCAAGUCGAACGGGCUAUGGGGCUUGCUCCAUAGUUAGUGGCGAACGGGUGAGUAAUAUAUCGGAACAUGUCCGGAAGUGGGGGAUAACGUAGCGAAAGUUACGCUAAUACCGCAUAUGCCCUGAGGGGGAAAGGGGGGGAUCGCAAGACCUCUCGCUUUCGGAGUGGCCGAUAUCUGAUUAGCUAGUUGGUGAGGUAAAGGCUCACCAUGGCGACGAUCAGUAGCUGGCCUGAGAGGAUGAUCAGCCACACUGGGACUGAGACACGGCCCAGACUCCUACGGGAGGCAGCAGUGGGGAAUUUUGGACAAUGGGCGAAAGCCUGAUCCAGCCAUUCCGCGUGAGUGAAGAAGGCCUUCGGGUUGUAAAGCUCUUUUGGCAGGAACGAAACGGUGGGGUCUAAUACGCCUUACUAAUGACGGUACCUGAAGAAGAAGCACCGGCUAACUACGU